rnacentral:rRNA from 1 species
AACGAACGCUGGCGGCAUGCCUAACACAUGCAAGUCGAACGAAGGCUUCGGCCUUAGUGGCGCACGGGUGCGUAACGCGUGGGAAUCUGCCCUCUGGUACGGAAUAACUCAGGGAAACUUGAGCUAAUACCGUAUAAUGACUUCGGUCCAAAGAUUUAUCGCCUGAGGAUGAGUCCGCGUCGGAUUAGCUAGUUGGUGAGGUAAAGGCUCACCAAGGCGACGAUCCGUAGCUGGUCUGAGAGGAUGAUCAGGCACACUGGGACUGAGACACGGCCCAGACUCCUACGGGAGGCAGCAGUGGCGAAUAUUGGACAAUGGGCAGAAGCCUGAUCCAGCAAUGCCGCGUGAGUGAUGAAGGCCUUAGGAUUGUAAAGCACUUUUACCCGGGAUGAUAAUGACAGUACCGGGAGAAUAAGCCCCGGCUAACUCCGUGCCAGCAGCCGCCGUAACAC